rfam:Shimia sp. SK013 shim_contig000009, whole genome shotgun sequence.
GGGUCCGCAGUUCACCCAGGCGCCGCCGGUCAUCUGACUUUGCUAAACCUGCGA